GACGAACGCUGGCGGCGUGCUUAACACAUGCAAGCCGAACGAAGAGCGAUGGAAGCUUGCUUCUAUCAAUCUUAGUGGCGAACGGGUGAGUAACGCGUAAUCAACCUGCCCUUCAGAGGGGGACAACAGUUGGAAACGACUGCUAAUACCGCAUACGAUCUAAUCUCGGCAUCGAGGAUAGAUGAAAGGUGGCCUCUACAUGUAAGCUAUCACUGAAGGAGGGGAUUGCGUCUGAUUAGCUAGUUGGAGGGGUAACGGCCCACCAAGGCGAUGAUCAGUAGCCGGUCUGAGAGGAUGAACGGCCACAUUGGGACUGAGACACGGCCCAGACUCCUACGGGAGGCAGCAGUGGGGAAUCUUCCGCAAUGGACGAAAGUCUGACGGAGCAACGCCGCGUGAGCGAUGACGGCCUUCGGGUUGUAAAGCUCUGUUAAUCGGGACGAAAGGCCUUCUUGCGAAUAGUGAGAAGGAUUGACGGUACCGGAAUAGAAAGCCACGGCUAACUACGUG
rnacentral:rRNA from 1 species